AUACUUACCUGGCACAGGAGAUACCAUGAUCACAAAGGCGGUUUUCCCAGGGUGAGACUUAUUCAUUGCACUCUGGAUGUGCUGACCCCUGCAAUUUUCCCAAAUGUGGGAAACUCGACUGCAUAAUUUGUGGUAGUAGGGGACUGCAUUCGCACUCUCCCCUG
ensembl:snRNA U1 U1 spliceosomal RNA